UCUCCCGCUUCACCUCCCUGAGCGGGUGCCUUAAUCCUUAUUAAGGCAGUUCGGCCCCCGGUCUUCCUCCCCUUUGACCGGGGGCCUGUUUUUU
rnacentral:ncRNA from 1 species